CACGGGUGAGUAACGCGUGGGAACGUACCUUUUGGUUCGGAACAACACAGGAAACUUGUGCUAAUACCGGAUAAGCCCUUACGGGGAAAGAUUUAUCGCCAGAAAGAUCGGCCCGCGUCUGAUUAGCUAGUUGGUGAGGUAAUGGCUCACCAAGGCGACGAUCAGUAGCUGGUCUGAGAGGAUGAUCAGCCACAUUGGGACUGAGACACGGUCCAAACUCAAUACGGGAGGCAGCAGUAGAGGGAAUAUUGGACAAUGGGAGAGCAACCAUGAUCCAGCCAUGCCGCGUGAAGUGAUGAAGGCCCUAGAGGUUGUAAAGCAUCUAUAUUGUGCGGCGAAGAUAAUGACGGUACCGGCAAGAAUAANGCCC
rnacentral:rRNA from 1 species